AAAAACAAAAAAUCUAUUAAAAGUGCAAAGAAAAAGAUUGAUAAAUAGAAGAGGAACGAGGAGAUUCGAGAUGAGGUUGAGAAUUGAGAUUGACGCAAGGCGAAGGCGAAGGCAAGGCACUCCAAUGACAAACUAAACUAGAGAACAAAAACAAAAAACACCCAAACCCAAAAGACUUCUUAUUUCAGCUUUCAGCACACCCAGCGAGCGCUCAAAUAGGUUGAGUAGGAUUUUAUUUUCAUGAGAGUGUAGGUAUAGAAUCGAGUGUUAUUCUGUUUCCGAGCCGAGUGCCGACUUCUACUGGGCUUCUUGACUAUGUUUACGGUUCGAUUAAUUGGAUACAAGUUAUAUAGGGGUUCUAUUUAUUACGGCCACGACCAAUAUAAGGUAGUGGCUCUGAUUCUGGCUAUUGAAUAUUGAAUUGAAUUGAAUAUUGAUAUUGAUAUGACACUAGGAAGAAAAACUCUGUAGCGGUGUUUUGGCGUUUGCUGACUGUUGGCUCUAGUGGGUGUUUUUUCUUUAGCCAAUUUGAUUCAAAUAUACACAAAAGCUAUUUGUUUUUAAAAAAAUGUUGUAAAUUGCGUGUUACGUUACAAGAGGAGCAUUCGGAAGUGUUUAGUUUUUUAAGAAGAUGUUCGUGUGUGAUUGAAGUGUGUCCAAGUCUUAUAAUAAAUAAAUUAGCUGGCGCACCAGUCCAUGAAGAACCAGGGCCUACUGCCUAGUGACUUACAACUCACAACCAUUCCUGUGUGUGAGUAAUGUUGUCAGAGAUGUAAGGGACCUACAGUUUAUAUGCUGGAUCCGAAUGGCUAAUUUGAGAAAGCACUUUUCAUGACAAGAAUUACUCUUAGAAGAUUUGCC